rnacentral:miRNA from 1 species
CGGGGCUGGUGGUAGUGCUGGCGGCGGCGGCGGCGGCGGCGGCGGCGGAGGCGGCGGA